rnacentral:rRNA from 1 species
CAUAGCGACUAUCGUGGCAUAUCAAUAAGCGGAGGAAAAGAAACUAACUAGGAUUCCCUUAGUAACGGCGAGUGAAGCGGGAAGAGCUCAAAUUUGAAAUCUUCAAGGUUCUACCUUGACGAAUUGUAGUUUAUAGAAGUGUUUUCUGUUAGUGGAGUGGCAAAAGUUCUUUGGAAUAGGACAUCAUAGAGGGUGAGAAUCCCGUAUUUGGUCAUUCCUCCUAGCGUUGUGAUACACUUUCAACGAGUCGGAUUGUUUGGGAAUGCAGUCCAAAAUGGGUGGUAAAUUUCAUCUAAAGCUAAAUAUUGGCGAGAGACCGAUAGCGAACAAGUACCGUGAGGGAAAGAUGAAAAGAACUUUGAAAAGAGAGUUAAACAGUACGUGAAAUUGUCAAAAGGGAAGCGUUUGACACCAGUGUUGUUUUUCCGAAAAUCAAUUACGAAUGUUUUGUUUUUGAGGAGUUAUGACUUCAUCGGCUUGCUCCUUUCUUUAUGAAACUUUCUUAAUGCACUUUUCGGUUAACAAGUCAACAUCAAUUUCUUUUGUUGUAAAAGGUUAAGAGGGAGGUGGCUUUACUUUCGGGUAAAGUGUUUAUAGCCUUUUAACUCUGCAAUCGGAGAGAUUGAGGUCUGCAGCGUAGAUCCUUCGGGGCUAGAUACGUUUGUGCUAAGUUAUAGCUUUUCAUAGACAACUUGUUGACUAUGUUUAGUCUUGUAGCUUACUCGCAUGACGCUAUUUUACCUACGCUUAGGAUGUUGAUAUGCAUGACUGAUAU